GAGCUGAAUGGCGAAAAAGGAUCUGCAUAGCUGACCCUAACUAGUUUGGGAUUCAGGCAUAGUUGUUGUUGUUGUUAUUAUAUUCCUGUGUCUAUGUGGUGUCUGUGGAGAAAAAAAUGAGUGGAGAUUGUAUUAGGAUGUUGGUUUCCUUUUAAUGAGGUUUUAUUCUUUCUAUGUGAGUUGAACUGAGCCAUUUGGAAUGAUCUUUUGGUACUUUUUGAGAAGAAUUGAGUACGAUAUGCACUGGAAACUUUGGUAGUUUAAAAUGGAACUGAAACUAAUAGCUGAUGUAAUCCCUAAUUUCAGUGCUGUGCUUGUAGAGACUGUUUUUUAUUUUAUAUUGUUAACUUUUACUUUUAAAUUGAUUUUUCGAAAUUAUAUACUGUAGGCACUUUAACUUUCAUCAUGGCUGUGAAAAGUUCUCUAUAUACUUAUUAAAUAAUUAAGCAUUUAUGAUUAAUAAUGAAUAUAAAAUGCAUUUAAUUAUAUAUUAUUAUGUCAUGCUGAUGUCAGAGUCAUGAUAAUUGAUCCUCUCUCUUUUCUGGUUUCACUGAUAGGCUAACUUCCGAAACAUUGCUUAUUUAUUUUUCCUAUGGUGCUAGGUAGCAUUUGGAGCUAGCUGAU
rnacentral:misc_RNA from 1 species